AAACGGGUUAAUAUUCCCGUACUUGGUGUUACUGCGAAGGGGGGACGGAGAAGGCUAUGUUGGCCGGGCGACGGUUGUCCCGGUUUAAGCGUGUAGGUGUGUGUUCCAGGUAAAUCCGGUUCACUUUAACACUGAGGCGUGAUGACGAGGCACUACGGUGCUGAAGCAACAAAUGCCCUGCUUCCAGGAAAAGCCUCUAAGCAUCAGGUAACAUCAAAUCGUACCCCAAACCGACACAGGUGGUCAGGUAGAGAAUACCAAGGCGCUUGAGAGAACUCGGGUGAAGGAACUAGGCAAAAUGGUGCCGUAACUUCGGGAGAAGGCACGCUGACAC
rnacentral:rRNA from 1 species